CGGGGCAGGGCGUCAAGUUGCAGACGCCGCUGCGUCUCCAGCGCGGAGCGGUGGCGCUCGCGCAGUUCCUGGUCGUGCUGUUCGUCCAGUUCCGCC
rnacentral:tRNA from 1 species